UCCGACCGGGGCGACAGCAAUAUGAAGGUCAGGCUGAAGACCUUACCCGAUUAGCUGAGAGGUGGUGCAUGGCCGUCGUCAGUUCGUACUGUGAAGCAUCCUGUUAAGUCAGGCAACGAGCGAGACCCACGUCCACAGUUGCCAGCAUACCCUCCGGGGUGAUGGGUACACUGUGGAGACCGCCGCUGCUAAAGCGGAGGAAGGAGUGGGCAACGGUAGGUCAGUAUGCCCCGAAUCUCCCGGGCUACACGCGGGCUACAAUGGUUGGUACAAUGGGCAUCUACCCCGAAAGGGGAAGGAAAUCUCUUAAAGCCAAUCGUAGUUCGGAUUGAGGACUGCAACUCGCCCUCAUGAAGCUGGAAUCCGUAGUAAUCGCGUUUCAACAGAACGCGGUGAAUACGUCCCUGCUCCUU
rnacentral:rRNA from 1 species